rnacentral:rRNA from 1 species
UUUCCGGUUGAUCCCGCCGGACCUGACUGCUAUCGGAUUGAUACUAAGCCAUGCGAGUCUUUGCAGUAAUGCAAGGCAUACGGCUCAGUAACACGUAGUCAACUUACCCUAUGGACGAGGAUAAUCUCGGGAAACUGAGCAUAAUACUCGAUAGAUCAUAAUGCCUGGAAUGGUUUAUGGUUAAAAUGAUUCGUCGCCAUAGGAUGGGACUGCGGCCUAUCAGCUUGUUGGUGAGGUAAUGGCCCACCAAGGCGAUUACAGGUACGGGCUCUGAGAGGAGAAGCCCGGAGAUGGGUACUGAGACAAGGACCCAGGCCCUAUGGGGCGCAGCAGGCGAGAAAACUUUGCAAUGUGCGAAAGCACGACAAGGUUAAUCCGAGUGAUUUCUGCUAAAGAAAUCUUUUGCAAGUCAUAAAACCACUAGUGAAUAAGGGGUGGGCAAGUUCUGGUGUCAGCCGCCGCGGUAAAACCAGCACCUCAAGUGGUCAGGAGGAUUAUUGGGCCUAAAGCAUCCGUAGCCGGCUCUGUAAGUUUUCGGUUAAAUCCAUGUGCUCAACGCAUGGGCUGCCGAAAAUACUGCAUAGCUAGGGAGUGGGAGAGGUAGACGGUACUCAGUAGGAAGGGGUAAAAUCCUUUGAUCUAUUGAUGACCACCUGUGGCGAAGGCGGUCUACCAGAACACGUUCGACGGUGAGGGAUGAAAGCUGGGGGAGCAAACCGGAUUAGAUACCCGGGUAGUCCCAGCUGUAAACGAUGCAGACUCGAUGAUGCAUUGGCAUAUAGCCAGUGCAGUGUCGCAGGGAAGCCGUUAAGUCUGCCGCCUGGGAAGUACGUACGCAAGUAUGAAACUUAAAGGAAUUGGCGGGGGAGCACCACAAGGGGUGAAGCCUGCGGUUCAAUUGGAGUCAACGCCGGAA